rnacentral:rRNA from 1 species
CGACGUGAGCAGUCUGCCUUCGGAUGGGGGAUAACAGCCGGAAACGGCUGCUAAUACCGCAUAACACAUGGGAUCCGCAUGUUUCCCAUGUCAAAGAUUUAUCGUCCGGAGAUGAGCUCGCGUCUGAUUAGCUGGUUGGCGGGGUAACGGCCCACCAAGGCGACGAUCAGUAGCCGGACUGAGAGGUUGAACGGCCACAUUGGGACUGAGACACGGCCCAGACUCCUACGGGAGGCAGCAG